AAAGAUUUAUCGGGGAAGGAUUGGCCCGCGUUGGAUUAGCUAGUUGGUGGGGUAAAGGCCUACCAAGGCGACGAUCCAUAGCUGGUCUGAGAGGAUGAUCAGCCACAUUGGGACUGAGACACGGCCCAAACUCCUACGGGAGGCAGCAGUGGGGAAUAUUGGACAAUGGGCGCAAGCCUGAUCCAGCCAUGCCGCGUGAGUGAUGAAGGCCUUAGGGUUGUAAAGCUCUUUCACCGAUGAAGAUAAUGACGGUAGUCGGAGAAGAAGCCCCGGCUAACUUCGUGCCAGCAGCCGCGGUAAUACGAAGGGGGCUAGCGUUGUUCGGAAUUACUGGGCGUAAAGCGCACGUAGGCGGAUAUUUAAGUCAGGGGUGAAAUCCCGCAGCUCAACUGCGGAACUGCCUUUGAUACUGGGUAUCUUGAGUAUGGAAGAGGUAAGUGGAAUUCCGAGUGUAGAGGUGAAAUUCGUAGAUAUUCGGAGGAACACCAGUGGCGAAGGCGGCUUACUGGU
rnacentral:rRNA from 1 species